CACUCCUGAUCGACAGUUUAAGCACAAGAAACGCUCUGAUUUGCACUUCAAAACUCCACCAUCCGCCAGUUCAAGAAGAAAACGCAGAGUCCAAUUUUGAUUUCUGUCCCCGCUAUUAGCCUUGAAGAAGAAGAAUUACCUGAAAAACAAGAGAAUCAUCAGAAGGAAAAAACAGAAAUUGUGGCUAAGGAAGAACGUAAAACAGAAGGAGAUGAAUUGAAGAAAGAUGAUUCUGGUGUUUCUUGCUCGAAUUCAGUCUUUCCUUGCAUGGAUAAGUCAGAGAAGAGCUUUCUUGUGCAGUAAGUCGCUCGUACUGAUUUCUAGAUUUCAUAUUAAUUGAUUCAGGCAAUCUGGGUUUUCAUUGUUUUUAAUGAUCUUGAUGUUUGGCAGAUUUGUUUGGAGAUUUGCUUUGAACCUAGUACCACUUCUUGUGGACACAGGUAAACGAAAAGUUUAUUUGUCAUAUAUUUAUUCAUAUGACAAUAUUAUUUGUCACAAAUUAUAUGAUAAUAAAAGUAAUUUUGGAGCAUCACAAGACAAAAAUAAUAAUUUUUUUGAUGUACAUAGGUAGGCAUAAUAAAUAUUUUUUAUUAUUUUAAUAAUAAAAAUUUAGA